AAGAUUCAGCUCACUCUUCCGGAA
rnacentral:siRNA from 1 species